CCGUAUGGAAAAGACCAUUAUGGAAAAAUGCGUUUUCACGACUGAGAGCAGCCGGUUUUCCGUCAUCAAUGAAUUUUCUGAGGUUUACAGGAAAAUCUAUUUCAGAGCAACUCCAUUUGGUGGAGAGGCUUCUUAUUACCUCUUCCGAGAAUUGGUGAAUCAUCACUAAUGGCACAAACUCACCCACUAUCGUCAUGGGUGUAUCAGGAAGCCAUCACAGCUUAUUCAAAUUGAAUCAAUGAUUCAUGAUCACAUAUGUGUAAUCAGGAAGAGGGGAAGGAACUGUAAUUGUCGAUAAUGAACCAUUUUUUGUUACAUACAGUUGUUAUGGACUGCUGCUCAUUUAUACUCCACUGUGUUUCAAGGGAUUCCUGAUUCUCAGCUCCAUGAAAAUGGUAUUAUUGACGUAAAGCUCUAAACUUUCCUUUGUCGAAAACCCACGUCUAGUUAAGUUGGAUAGAAGAAAAGGGAUGCAAAUCCUAUGUCAACUUAUCUACCAGAAAUACAACAGUUGCGCCACCUCAUUGGAUUGAGAUUGGAUUGUUGUGUGUUUUAUAAUCCAUGACAGGGAUGUUUAUUGUGAUAUGUGAGAAAAAUUAAAGGCCUCUGCCUCUCUGGUUUGUUCGAUUCUUGAGGCAGGAACUUGUUUGGUUGUAGUUUAUUUCAUGGUGCGUGCAAAGGCUUAGUGAAUAAUGGAAAAACUGAUUGAUGCUA